UUAUAUCUGUUAUAGUUUAUCAAAAUAACAUCUCUGAAUGUAUUCUCUUGACUAACCAAACAUCCCCUCUUUGUCUUUUUGAAUAACAGCAUACUUCUACUGCUGUUUUAUUGAAUGACCUUACCUUAUAUUUGACUUGACUGGCUUCUGUUUACAGAAAUUGUAAACCAGUUGAAUGCUCUGAGCAGCUUAGAUGAAGAUCAAGAUGACUGCAUAAAGCAAGCAAAUAUGCCUUCAGCUAAAUCAGCCAGUUCCUCUGAAGAGCUUAUCAGCAAACUUAACUUUCUGGAUGAAGCAGAAAAGGACUUGGCCACUGUGAAUUCAAAUCCAUUCGAUGAGCCUGAUGUACCAGAAUUAAACCCAUUUGGAGAUCCUGAUUUAGAAGGUAGCAUUUUUUUCUAUAUUUUUAAUGUCUGUAUAAUAGUUUAGUCCUCUAGAACUAUAAGGGCAGGAGAAUAUUUUCUCAAAAG
rnacentral:lncRNA from 1 species